rnacentral:lncRNA from 1 species
GUGAAAGGUCGCUGGUCCCCGGCAACACGGCUCAGGCAAACCAACAGUGAGAGCUCAGAAAUUCCCAGACUGUUUUGAUGAUAAGGUCCAAGAACUUGCCAUGUGAUCCAUCACUACUAGACUCCCACAACUGCAUUAGAUUUGUUCAGGAUUUUCAUAUAAUUUUCAUAACUGGCUAAGUUCUGAAAUAACCCAUCUUGAAGACAUAAACAAUGUGCAUUGAUGGCUAGCCAGACUCUGUCCUGCCACAGUUCUCCUCCUACUCUUCAUUUCUUACCCCAAGGAGUAGUAAACAUGAAUCCUGACCCACCAAUGCAGUCCCAGAACUGAGAAAAGAUUCACUGCAGCUAAACACAUUGGAAAUGGAUGGGGAGAAGGCCUGAUGAAAAUUACUGAGGAAGCCUCUUAGCCUAUGUGCUCUGAGAGUAGUGACACCUAGCAGUCGUUCAAAAGAUGAUCAAGAGGAGCAUGAAAAAAUCCCCUGAAUCCAUUGGCUUUCUUCCCUAUACUGACAACAGUUUACUUGUGUAAGAGAUGCAUGCCUCGACUCCGGACCCCUUCUUUCAUCUGCAAAAUCAGCAGCACCCUCACAUCAUCUCCUGUAACAAACUCUCUCUGUCUCCUCCAUAUAAGGUCACUGAUGGUUACAUUUAGGGUCCAUGAUAUAAGGCCCUCUCCAGGGUGCCUGAGUUUGUUGUUUCAUCACAGAAUUACACGGAAGAGACUGGAAAGAUAACUCUUCAAAUGUCAAAUCAUUCCCCUAUAAAAAAUUUUGCCACAGCUGUUGAAAUAUGGCCUUAGGGUUUAUGACAGAAUUUGAACCAGCCCCAUGGAAAAUGCAUCUUGACUCUGCUUUUAUUCCUUUCCCUGCUGAGCUCCUAAUAGAAGAUGGAUGUCUAUUGCUUUUCUCUUGAUAUUCAUGGCACUGCUCCUCUCCAUCCAUAGGAUUAUCUUAUAGAUGAGGGUCUCAUCCUUUUGCCCAGGCUGGAGUACAG